ensembl:lncRNA
AAUAAACUCAAUUGUCAAAUAAAAAGUUUUAUUUGACAAUACGUCCAUCAUGUCACUGAGCUCUGACAGCCGCAGCUCUAGCCAAUUUGCUGACUUUGACUGGAAUGUUAUAUUUACAAAGACAUGUUUUAUUUCUUUUUCUGCCGUACUCCCCAACAGCCAGACUAUCUGCAGUUCUGUUGCCAUAUUUAUGAGUUACGGUUAUGUUGGCCAUACAAAACACAGAGAAACUGCCAGCAGCUGCUCAUUAGCUAUGGAGCCGAUUUCUCACCCGUCACCCCCCGUGACUCCACCCACAUUCUGUUACCAUGGCGGUUACCAUGUCAACGCCAAAAGUUUCAUCUUAGGGUUUCGGUCAACCCCACUGGCAUGUAGCAGACAUUAACUGUCUCUCUCCUCAUCUCUCCACAUCUGGAUCAUAUUGUCAUCACAAGCGUGUCUACGGUGUCUUGUGCCAUGCUGAAAGAAGAUGUUGACCUUUGACCUCUGCCUUGGAGUGCUGAAGUACAAUGACCUGUGACCCUUAGGGUUAUGGAUGAAUGAGGUGUGGUGAACGCUCAAAACGGGAUGACAGGAAAGCUAAACGACAGCUUGUCAGCAUGGAGUUUUUCACAGCUCUAACAAGAGACUCUAUCUCUGUCUGAUCUGUCCAAACAAACUCACAAACACUUAGCAAAGAAUUCACUGAGAAUAAAUGGAUACCACGGAUCGAGCCGUUUAUGCUC